UGAUUUUAUAGAGUAGAAACUUCAUUUUUGUGACCUAAUGUUUAAUCCAACUCAGUUUGCAGGCCAAAGAAGAGAAGGUAAAAGUUGCUGAUGACUCGCUUAGCAAGGCAGAUUGGCAAAGCGAGAUGCAUCCGCUUAGCGAGGCAUCCAGCUCGCUUAGCGGAUGGGAAAUCCUAGAAUAGGAUAAGUCAGAGAUCUGUGCGCCCAGCGUGCAGCCAGCCCACCCAGCGAGGACGUUGUCUCUGCUCACGCUUAGCACGCCCAAGCUCGCUUAGCGGAAUUUCAGUUACUCUCACUCAGCAAGUCUUCGAAAGCUAAGAAGUCCAAU
rnacentral:lncRNA from 1 species